UGGGGAAUCAUAGUCAAUGGGCGAAAGCCUGAACUUGCGACGCCGCGUGAGUGAUGAAGGUCGUAAGAUCGUAAAACUUUUUUCAGGGAUCUUAAAGCCUGUCUGUCAACAACAGGCAGGUCUGACUCUCCCUGGAAGAAGCCCCAGCCAACUACGUGCCAGCAGCUGCGGUAAUACGGAAGGUCCAGGCGUUAUCCGGAUUUAUUGGGUUUAAAGGGAGCGUAGGCCGCUUGGUAAGCGGGCAGUGAAAUGCAGAGGCUCAACCUCUGACUUGCUGUUCGAACUGCCGGGCUUGAGUACGCACGAGGUAGGCGGAAUUUGUGGUGUAGCGGUGAAAUGCUUAGAUAUCACAAAGAACUCCAAUUGCGAAGGCAGCUUACCGGAGCGCAACUGACGCUGAAGCUCGAAAGUGCGGGUAUCGAACA
rnacentral:rRNA from 1 species